rnacentral:tRNA from 1 species
GUGAGUGUAGCUCAGCUGGUAGAGCGUCGGCUUGUGGUGCCGGAUGUCGCGGGUUCGAGCCCCGUCACUCACCCCA